CUACCUCUACAGCUUUGUCCAUUGUACAUGUGCCCCGUGUGCCACAGCUCUACCUCUACAGCUCUGUCCAUUGUACAUGUGCCCCGUGUGCCACAGCUCUACCUCUACAGCUCUGUCCAUUGUACAUGUGCCCCGUGUGCCACAGCUCUACCUCUACAGCUUUGUCCAUUGUACAUGUGCCCCGUGUGCCA